rnacentral:lncRNA from 1 species
AAUUUCUUCAAAUAUUUUUUUAUGCCCCAUUUAUGGGCAUUAUGUUUUCUGGUCUGUGCGUCCGUUCGUCCGUCUGUUCGUUCGUCCGUUCGUCCGUCUGUCCCGCUUCAGGUUAAAGUUUUUGGUCGAGGUAGUUUUUGAUGAAGUUGGAGUCCAAUCAACUUGAAACUUAGUACACAUGUUCCUUAUGAUAUGAUCUUUCUAAUUUAAAUGCCAAAUUAGAGUUUUGACCCCAAUUUUACGGUUCACUGAUAGAAAAUGAU